CAGCCAUAGUGCACCAGAACGCCCACCACACACCAGCUAUUGGUGGAGAGGAGAGAGUUAUGAAGCCAAUUCAGAGAUGGAGAUUAUUAGGGGGCCAUGAUAGAUAAGGGCCAAUGGGGGAAUUUCACCUGGACGCCAGGGUUAUACCCCUACUCUUUUAUAAAAAGUAAUGGAACAGAUAGUCUUAGAGUAAAUAACAUUUAAUAUUGGGUUGCAUAUCCCUUGUUUGCAAUAUCUGCAUCAAGCCAGUGACCGACUGACAUCACCAAACUGUUGUAUUAUUUGUGUUGGUUUUCCAGGUAUGUAGUGCAGUUUCUUUCAGCCGUUGUCAUUUCAUUGUCAUUGGUGAUGUCACUGACUGUUGUUUUUGUUUUUUUCUUCACAGCUCUCAAUGUUUCAUGACAUCAACUGCUGUUGUUUUCCUUGGCCGACCCAUUCAGUGUCCACCAGUGGUUUCUUUCUUUUUCAGGACAUUUCAAAUUGUUGUACUGGCUAUGCCCACUGUUUAUGCAAUGCCUCUGACUGAUUUUCCCUCUUUUCUCAGUUUCAAAAGGACUUGCUUUUCUCCCAUAGACAGCUCUGGACAGCAUAGAGGUGGUGGGGGAGAGGAGGAUGUUAGCUAAGCUGGCGUCUAUCAUGGGCAAUUCCUCUCACCCCCUGUGUGAGACAUUGGGGUCCCUGAGCAGCUCCUUCAGCAACAGACUGCUGCACCCUCAGUGCAAGAAGGAGUGCUACCGCAGCUUCUGUAACAAGGGAAUAUCCCCAGGGUGGGAUCAAUAAUGUUUUUUAUUUUAUCAUAUCUUAUCCCUUUGAUCUUCAUGUUGGCUUAUCUUUUUUAACAACAAAUGAGAAACUGAAGUCUAAAACCAAGAAACACCUGUCAGUCACAUGUUACAAUAUAUUUGCUCACCUACAAAUGGUGUGGUCUGAUACAAAAUGUGUUAUGCUCUAUGUCAUAUAACACAUCUACAUAUAAAUACCAGGAAAUAAAAGCUGGAAUUCUAAACCAUCUUCUCAUAUUCAUCUUUUUGAUCUCAAACCCAAAUAUCUUUAGUCUACAGCAAAAAGAAAUACAUUGGCUUUGCUGUUCCAAUACUUUUCAAGGGGACUCUAUGCAAAUUGGAUUGCAGUUAUUUAAGUUUCCUUAUGUAUGUAUUUCUGGUGAUUCUGUUUUUACUCCCUUGUUUUAUCACAGUACCAUCUUUAUUUUUUUAUUUUUUUAUUUUUUUAUUUUUGUCCCACCCACUAGCUAGCCCGUCUCACAUAAAAGAACAGAACAUAACAAAACUCUCUCCGUGACUCCCUG
ensembl:lncRNA